AUGAUAUUUCUUAUUACUUUCAAGUUCUAAAAGAAUGAAAAUUCUUGGGUUUAUUAUAGCUCUUCUAUUCGUAGCAGAUAAGACCCGACCACCCGGAUCAUGAAAUGGAAAACGAUCCAAGCUAUAUGGCUAAACUACUCCAAGUAGUUUUGUACCCAAAACUAAUAAAGGAAUUAUAAAAAAUUU